GAUUCUGUAAUCUUAACAGUUACAGUCAAUAUUGAUAAUCAAUGGCAUAAAUAGAAUCCCUCACAAUCAACAAAAAUCUUUCCUAAAUAACAAGAAAACAUAAGCAAUUAAAUUCAAUUCAAGCUCUUCAAAUCAAUCCAAUGUAGAAGAAAUAUAGAAAAGAAAACAUCAUGAAAUAUACGAGGAAGCAAUUAAGUAUGACAAAAGCUAAUAUUUUGUAUUGUUUUCAAUCAAUAAACAUGGAGAUUCCAGCCCCAGCUGACUUUUCAUAGGUUCUAUUUUAGAAUUUUUCCCAUUAGCUGUUGGAGAUAUUAUUAAUAGUAAGACCAUAUUAACUUUACUGGUAUUCAUCAAUUACAAGUUACCGUUUAAUGCUCAUUGGUUAUUUUUAUAUUUAUAUUUAUACGCAA
rnacentral:misc_RNA from 1 species